rnacentral:rRNA from 1 species
UACGUAGGGUGCGAGCGUUGUCCGGAAUCACUGGGCGUAAAGGGCGCGUAGGCGGUUUGUCGCGUCGGCUGUGAAAACCUGGGACUCAACCCCGGGCCUGCAGCCGAUACGGGCAAACUAGAAUUCGGUAGGGGAGACUGGAAUUCCUGGUGUAGCGGUGAAAUGCGCAGAUAUCAGGAGGAACACCGGUGGCGAAGGCGGGUCUCUGGGCCGAUAUUGACGCUGAGGAGCGAAAGCGUGGGGAGCGAACAGG